CUGCUGCAUAGCUCGAUAGCUGGAGCGGCUUGAAGGGAAGACCGGGGCAGCGCCAAAGUCACUGGGUCUUAGGCCAAACUGAUGAUGCCCAUCCCCGGAGUGCCCAUGGCCUCUCCUUGCUCUUGACUUCUCAACCCGGGUUCGGCGGAAGACUUCUUGAAUUUGGCGGUCAUUUUCCUUCAGCAUCUGAUCGACAUUGCCUGAAGGGCAAAUUAGAGGCCCAGAAUGGUGGAUCUUGUUACCCUUUGAUCCAUAGCCCUGUUCAGACAAGAAAUAGUCUGGAGAUACUUACAAUAGCUCCAUCCACCCUGCUACUCCUGUCAUCUUUCUGCUGAAAUACUUGAUCAUACUUUCCACUACUACUGAAACGCUCAUUUAUAGAUUCAGACAGCCUCCGUUCAUGCGGAAAGGCUUCGGCUUGAGUAACCACUGUUCCAUUGCCAUUAUCUGAACGAAUAUUUGAUCUUGUUGAUACAACCACACGGAAGUCCGAUGCGUUUGCAACACCAGAAAGAUGAAUAUCGCCAUUUUCACUCCGUCCAGCCUUUGAAGGUUUAUUUUGAUUAACUAGAGGCCCAGAAUGGAAUGUUCUUGUGUAGACACGUUGAGAGUCUUGAGACGAUUCAGCAGGAUGAGUUGGCCUGGGUGGCUCAAUCGGAAAGCCAGAUGCAGAGUCUUCCUUGCUGGGAUUGAACAUCUCACUCCUGCUCUUGGCAUUGACUUGGUUUUGUCUUUUCUGAAAUUGUACACAAAAAUAAAUAUAUUCAUCUAAAAAAAUAGAACAACUUGGAUAGCAAGAUUGUAGAGGAAAAAUACACUUGGAAUGUGUGCUGGCUAUUAAAGGCUUCAUUACAAUAUAUUCAAUAACAGUCAACAAGGUAUUACCUGCAAAGAUGACACUAAUUCUGCAUUUGCGUCAGGUGCAGGAACUGCUCUCGACUCUCUAGUCCGUCUUUCAGGAUCAUACUUGUGUUGCUUUCCUCCAGCAAUACCUUGCCUACAGAAAUGUGCAAAUGUCAAUUUUGAAAGAAAAUGCAGGCAUUGCAG
rnacentral:sRNA from 1 species